rnacentral:ncRNA from 1 species
UGAGUAUCAGAGAUUAGUAGGGGGAGAACAAGUCCCUCAGAC